rnacentral:rRNA from 1 species
GGCUACGAGGACGAACGCUGGCGGCGUGCCUAAUACAUGCAAGUAGAACGACUGAAGAGAGGAGCUUGCUCUUCUUGGAUGAGUUGCGAACGGGUGAGUAACGCGUAGGUAACCUGCCUUGUAGCGGGGGAUAACUAUAGGAAACGAUAGCUAAUACCGCAUAACAAUGGAUGACACAUGUCAUUUAUUUGAAAGGGGCAAUUGCUCCACUACAAGAUGGACCUGCGUUGUAUUAGCUAGUAGGUGAGGUAACGGCUCACCUAGGCGACGAUACAUAGCCGACCUGAGAGGGUGAUCGGCCACACUGGGACUGAGACACGGCCCAGACUCCUACGGGAGGCAGCAGUAGGGAAUCUUCGGCAAUGGGGGCAACCCUGACCGAGCAACGCCGCGUGAGUGAAGAAGGUUUUCGGAUCGUAAAGCUCUGUUGUAAGUCAAGAACGAGUGUAAGAGUGGAAAGUUCACACUGUGACGGUAGCUUACCGGAAAGGGACGGCUAACUACGUG